CCUGAAAGAAAUGAGAGUGAGUCAGGCAGCCAACGGAUUAAACCUGUUUUCAUCGAAGACGCUAAUUUUGGACGCCAGAUAUCCUAUCAACAUGCAGCGGUCCAUAUUCCCACGGACAUCUAUGAGGGCUAAUUUCCCAUCGAAUGUGUAAAGUGCAGCAGAUUCAGAGGCACACGCGACGGCUCCCUCCUGAGCUUCCAGCAUUUGAAAGGCACUGGCAGGGAUAGUAAGAAUAGAUAAGUCCGAGCACUGCAACUCUGUUCCAGAUCUGUGAGCGGCCUUGGUCUUGCCAAAAGGAAACGUUAAUAGAAAUGAACAAAAGAGAGCAGAAAGGCAGGAUUCUCUUCUGAAAUAAAUUUUAAGGCUAAGUUUUAAGACUUAAGUCCAUUGUGAAUAUUUUCCUAGAGCUGCGUAGUAAAUGCCACUGCUCCUCGAUGAUGAAUGGUCUCCCUUUCUCUUUAAUCUGAGCUAUGAAUGUGGCAGUAUGGGAAAAACAAGCCACGGCUCUCACUUCCUUCCUUGGGGGGCUGGAUUAUGGCUAGUUAAAUGUAAACACCAACAGUUUUCAACUUAAUGUCGCACUCAUUUUCAGUUGACAGAUGAAAAUAUUACGUUGUUAUAUAAAUCUUACAUGCUUAAGUAAUAUAUCUAAUUUAUUAGCUCAUUUUAUAAAACUCUAAAUAAUUUAUGGCCCCCAGUAUGUGGUGUUAAUGGCUAGCCUCACUGACUAAAUUACAGUGCGAUUAAUUUGUGACAAAAUGUAAUAGAACUAACAUGUGCUCUGUAAUCACCAGGGCAGAGGGCAAAUCUAAAUGAAGACAUUUGAAUUCAGCUUGCAUAACUAAGCUGGGGGAAAAAAAUCUAUGUAACUGUCCAUACACAUAGACAUUGUUGCACUGUAGGAACCAUGCAUCAUAUUAUGAUACCUUUGUAGUAAUCUUUGCACUUCCAGAUUAUCUUAACCCAACGGUUUCUCAUUACUUCUUGUAAUAAAGAAUGAGUGGUUAGUGUAAAUUUAAAAAAUAAAAAUCAUCUCUGGAACAAA
rnacentral:lncRNA from 1 species